rnacentral:rRNA from 1 species
GAUGAACGCUGGCGGCGUGCCUAAUACAUGCCAGUCGAGCGAACAGACGAGGAGCUUGCUCCUCUGACGUUAGCGGCGGACGGGUGAGCAACACGUGGAUAACCUACCUAUAAGACUGGGAUAACUUCGGGAAACCGGAGCUAAUACCGGAUAAUAUAUUGAACCGCAUGGUUCAAUAGUGAAAGACGGUUUUGCUGUCACUUAUAGAUGGAUCCGCGCCGCAUUAGCUAGUUGGUAAGGUAACGGCUUACCAAGGCAACGAUGCGUAGCCGACCUGAGAGGGUGAUCGGCCACACUGGAACUGAGACACGUUCCAGACUCCUACGGGAGGCAGCAGUAGGGAAUCUUCCGCAAUGGGCGAAAGCCUGACGGAGCAACGCCGCGUGAGUGAUGAAGGUCUUCGGAUCGUAAAACUCUGUUAUUAGGGAAGAACAAAUGUGUAAGUAACUAUGCACGUCUUGACGGUACCUAAUCAGAAAGCCACGGCUAACUACGUG